CUUGCAGAUGGGCAGACAGAGCUUGCUGUUCCUCUUUAGAGAGUGAGGAAGACUGUUCUUCUACAUGAAACAUAUUAAUUACUGGUUCCCUGGGUGCUGGGAUAUCUCUUUUCUCAUGGAGCUGCCGGAUUUCUGUGUCAGUACUGUGUGUGGGAGAUGAAGUCCAGCAUCAGAGCCAGGCUAAAGAGGAGAUGGAGACCAGGAGGAUCUCUGCAUCAUAAAGGAAACACGCUGUAUGCUUCCAUACAAUACCACACCUCUAGAAGCCACACUGAAUUUAAGGAGAAACCCUUCUCUUUCCUGGGUUGCUUGCACCAAGCUGCGCAAAUCCUGAUGGCCUUAAGCACGCCAACCUGGUCCCCGUGGAGCUACUCACAUCCUGAGUUAUGCAGGAUGCUUCCAGCUUCCAGCCCUGGCUUUGGUGAAAUCCACAUGAGGAUGGGUUAUCUGAAGUUCUCCUGCUACCCCACGUCACUGAACGCCUCUGCAGGGAUGAGCCAAUUCAGCAGAAGUCCUAAGUGAAUUCUGGUGAGAAAAGGAAACAGAGGACAGGCUGCAAUCAAGCCGAAGCGUCGGGCAAACAGAAAUCAGCCUGCUUGUGUGAGAGCUGCACCAUCAAGACCUCAUUGCAUCUAAGUGCCAAAAAAGUGGAAUUCCAGAACAGCAGGUGAAAAGAAAACAGAAGAUCAAAAGCAGCUCUGGCUGCCAAGAGAACCUGCAGCACUGCUUGGGGGUGCACGAAAAAGUCACGCAGACUCCUGAUGGUGUCAGAGACUUUUGGAAGGUCAUCAAGGAGGUUUUUUUUUCUCAGGCAUCCC
ensembl:lncRNA